GACGAACGCUGGCGGCGUGCCUAACACAUGCAAGUUGAGCGAAUGAAGUUCCUUCGGGAAUGGAUUUAGCGGCGGACGGGUGAGUAACACGUGGGCAACCUGCCUCAUAGAGGGGAAUAGCCUUCCGAAAGGGAGAUUAAUAUCGCAUAAGAUUGUAGUACCGCAUGGUACAGCAAUUAAAGGAGCAAUCCGCUAUGAGAUGGGCCCGCGGCGCAUUAGCUAGUUGGUGAGGUAAUGGCUCACCAAGGCGACGAUGCGUAGCCGACCUGAGAGGGUGAUCGGCCACAUUGGGACUGAGACUCGGCCCAGACUCCUACGGGAGGCAGCAGUGGGGAAUAUUGCACAAUGGGGGAAACCCUGAUGCAGCAACGCCGCGUGAGUGAUGACGGCCUUCGGGUUGUAAAGCUCUGUCUUCAGGGACGAUAAUGACGGUACCUGAGGAGGAAGCCACGGCUAACUACGUGCCAGCCGCCGCCGUAACAC
rnacentral:rRNA from 1 species